rnacentral:rRNA from 1 species
AGAGUUUGAUCCUGGCUCAGGACGAACGCUGGCGGCGUGCUUAAUACAUGCAAGUCGAACGCUCUCGACCUUCGGGUCACUGAGAGAGUGGCGAACGGGUGCGUAACACGUGAGAAACCUACCCCGAAGACGGGAAUAGCCCGAGGAAACUCGGAUUAAUACCCGAUACCUCCACACUGUCGCAUGACAGAGUGAAGAAAGUUCAGGCGCUUCGGGAGGGUCUCGCGGCCUAUCAGCUUGUUGGUGAGGUAACGGCUCACCAAGGCAUCGACGGGUAGCUGGUCUGAGAGGAUGAUCAGCCACACUGGGACUGAGACACGGCCCAGACUCCUACGGGAGGCAGCAGUAGGGAAUCUUGCGCAAUGGGCGAAAGCCUGACGCAGCAACGCCGCGUGGGGGAUGAAUGCCUUCGGGUUGUAAACCCCUUUCAGCAGGGACGAAAUUGACGGUACCUGCAGAAGAAGGUCCGGCCAACUACGUGCCAGCAGCCGCGGUAAUACGUAGGGACCGAGCGUUGUCCGGAAUUAUUGGGCGUAAAGAGCUCGUAGGCGGUUCAGUAAGUCGGGUGUGAAAACUCAAGGCUCAACCUUGAGACGCCACUCGAUACUGCUGUGACUUGAGUCCGGUAGAGGAGUGUGGAAUUCCUGGUGUAGCGGUGAAAUGCGCAGAUAUCAGGAGGAACACCAGCGGCGAAGGCGGCACUCUGGGCCGGUACUGACGCUGAGGAGCGAAAGCAUGGGGAGCAAACAGGAUUAGAUACCCUGGUAGUCCAUGCCGUAAACGUUGGGCACUAGGUAUGGGACCAUAUCAACGGGUUCCGUGCCGUAGCUAACGCAUUAAGUGCCCCGCCUGGGGAGUACGGC